AUUGAACGCUGGCGGCAUGCCUUACACAUGCAAGUCGAACGGCAGCACGGGAGCAAUCCUGGUGGCGAGUGGCGAACGGGUGAGUAAAGUAUCGGAACGUGCCCAGUCGUGGGGGAUAACGUAGCGAAAGUUACGCUAAUACCGCAUACGAUCUAUGGAUGAAAGCGGGGGAUCGGAAGACCUCGCGCGAUUGGAGCGGACGAUAUCAGAUUAGGUAGUUGGGGGGGUAAAGGCUCACCAAGCCGACGAUCUGUAGCUGGUCUGAGAGGACGACCAGCCACACUGGGACUGAGACACGGCCCAGACUCCUACGGGAGGCAGCAGUGGGGAAUUUUGGACAAUGGGCGCAAGCCUGAUCCAGCCAUGCCGCGUGCAGGAUGAAGGCCUUCGGGUUGUAAACUGCUUUUGUACGGAACGAAAAGGUUUGACUUAAUACGUUGGACUCAUGACGGUACCGUAAGAAUAAGCACCGGCUAACUACGUGCUAGCCGCCGCGGUAA
rnacentral:rRNA from 1 species